rnacentral:rRNA from 1 species
UACGUAGGGGGCUAGCGUUGCUCGGAAUCACUGGGCGUAAAGCGCACGUAGGCGGGUCCUUAAGUCAGGGGUGAAAUCCCGGAGCUCAACUCCGGAACUGCCUUUGAUACUGGGGAUCUUGAGUCCGGAAGAGGUGAGUGGAACUCCGAGUGUAGAGGUGAAAUUCGUAGAUAUUCGGAAGAACACCAGUGGCGAAGGCGGCUCACUGGUCCGGUACUGACGCUGAGGUGCGAAAGCGUGGGGAGCAAACAGG